rnacentral:rRNA from 1 species
GCAAGUAUGGUAAGGGCGGACGGUGGAUCCCUCGGCAGCCGGAGGCGAUGAAGGGCGUGGCCAGCUGCGAUAAGCCUCGGGGAGCCGCUGAGCAGGCUAUGAUCCGGGGAUUCCCGAAUGGGGCAACCCACCGUGCCGUUGAGGCGCGGUAUCCGUCGCCGAAUACAUAAGCGGCGGAGGCGAACCCCGCGAAGGGAAACAUCCCAGUAGCGGGAGGAGGAGAAAUCAACCGAGAUUCCCCUAGUAGCGGCGAGCGAACGGGGAACAGCCCAAACCGUGACAGUGUAAGGCCGCAGCCGUUGCUGUCGCGGGGUUGUGGGGCGAUGGUGGGGGCCGCUGCGGAGGCCCCGGGGAGUUACAAAGGCCUUCUCUAGCCGAACGGCCAGCAAAGUCACUGGAAAGGGCGACCGGAGAGGGUGAAAGUCCCGUAGGCGAAAGGGAAGGCCCUCCCUGGCCAUCGUUCCCGAGUAGCGUCGGACACGUGGAAUCCGGCGCGAAGCUGGGGGGACCACCCUCCAAGGCUAAAUACUCCCGGCUGACCGAUAGUGCACCAGUACCGUGAGGGAAAGGUGAAAAGAACCCCGGGAGGGGAGUGAAAUAGAACGUGAAACCGUCCGCCUACAGUGCAGUGGGAGCCUCGCUCGCCUUGGCCUGCGGGCCCUGGCGAGGGGGUGACCGCGUGCCUUUUGCAGUAUGAGCCGGCGAGUUACGCUCCGUGGCGAGGUUAAGCCCCUGUGGGGCGGAGCCGUAGCGAAAGCGAGUCCGAACAGGGCGACUAGUCACGGGGCGUAGACCCGAAGCCAGGUGAUCUACCCAUGGGCAGGGUGAAGUGCGUUUAACCGCGCACGGAGGCCCGAACCCGUUGGCCGUGCAACGCCAUGGGAUGACCUGUGGGUAGCGGUGAAAUGCCAAUCGCACCUGGUGAUAUCUGGCUCUCCCCGAAAUGGCUCUAGGGUCAGCCUCACGUGAUAGGCGGCCGGGGGUAGAGCACUGGCUGGGGAAGGGGGGAAACUCCCGACUCCAAUCAAACUCCGAAUACCGGCCUGCCGUUUCGUGGGAGUGAGACUGCGGGUGAUAACGUCCGUAGUCGAGAGGGAAACAACCCAGACCGCCAGCUAAGGCCCCCAAAUCCAGGCUGAGUGGGAAAGGCGGUGUGGUUGCUGAAACAGCUGGGAGGUUGGCUUAGAAGCAGCCAUCCUUUAAAGAGUGCGUAAUAGCUCACCAGUCUAGCGACCGCGCGCCGAAAAUGUAACGGGGCUAAGCCUGGUGCCGAAGCUGCGGGGCGUCCGCUUUGCGGGCGUCGGUAGGGGAGCGUUCCCAGCGGGGCGAAGCCGCGUCGCGAGGCGCGGUGGACUGCUGGGAAGUGAGAAUGCCGGCAUGAGUAGCGAGAGACGGGUGAGAAUCCCGUCCACCGAAUGCCCAAGGUUUCCUGGGGAAGGCUGAUCCACCCAGGGUUAGGCGGCCCUAAGCCGAACCCGAAAGGGGUAGGCGAUGGACAGCCGGUUAAUAUUCCGGCCCCUCCGGAUCUGCGUUACGAGCGAAGGGGGGACGCCGCGCGAGCCCCUCCGCAGGCUCACGGCUAUGCCUGUCCAAGCACCGAGUCAGAGGGGGUAGGCAAAUCCGCCCCCUCGCAACCGCCCCGUCCUUGCCCUUCGGGGUGGGGGCGGGACGGCCAGGCGAGGUGUGAUGGCGAGCCCCGUAAGGGGCGAAGGGAGACGGCUUGAGCGGCCGAGAAAAGCCUCUAGCCAGUAGGUCCGGAGUCCGUACCGCAAACCGACACAGGUGGGCGAGGUGAGUAUCCAAAGGUGGACGAGCCAACUCCGGUCAAGGAACUCGGCAAAAUGGCCCCGUAACUUCGGGAGAAGGGGCGCCUUCUGGGUCGCUGGGGGAACCCAGCGGCUUGGGAGGCCGCAGAGAAUCGGCCCGGGCGACUGUUUACCAAAAACACAGGUCCCUGCUAACCCGAAAGGGGAUGUAUAGGGACUGAAACCUGGCCACUGCCGGUAGGUCAAGGGGAGGGGUGCAAGCUCCGAACCGAAGCCCCGGUGAAGGCCGGCCGUAACUAUAACGGUCCUAAGGUAGCGAAGUUCCUUGUCGGGUAAGUGAAACAGCUUGCCCUGCCGCCCCGCGAGGGGCGGUGGAAAUCCGGCUCAUAUCGGGGAAGCCCUCCUGCCGUAAAGGCGUGGGGUAAUCCCGAGGGAAGUCAGCUCCGCAGGGAGCUUGACCCCGUAACGACUGACCCGAAAGGGGAGGCGCGCUUUUUCCCCAGCGCGCAAUACGCCGGACCUCACCUUAAAAAGAGACGCCUAUGGAGGCUUCCUUCCAUAAAAAGGGGGACUGGGAAAUGGAGAGGCUGCAUCCCUGGUACGUGACGGGCUUGGUGGAAGGGGAGGGCUCGUUUGUGGUGAGCUUCUCCCGCCGCCGCAGGCUUAAGGUAGGGGUGGAGACCCGCCCCUCUUUCUCCGUUUCCCAAAGCGAAGGGAACCUGGAGCUCCUGAAGCGGCUGCGCGCUUUCUUCCGCUGUGGCGGCAUCCGUUAUUCCCGGGGGGACCGCACCUACAAGUACGAGGUGCGGUCGGUGGAGGAUUUGGUGAAGCGGGUCCUGCCACACUUCCAGCGGUAUCCGCUUCAGGGGGAUAAGGCCCAGGAUUUCCGAAAGUUCGCGCGCAUUUGCACCAUGGUGCACGCCAACCUCCAUCUGAACCGCGAUCGUCUGCAGGAGAUCAUCGAGCUGGCAUACACGAUGAACCCGGCGGGCAAGCGCAGGCAGCGGAAGGAAGUGCUCCUAAGGGCGCUCGGUGAGGGUAAGGGAUAGUCUGCCUCCCGUGGAAACACGGGGAAAGGUGAAGUUCCGACCCGCAUGAAAGGUCCAACGACCUGGGCGCUGUCUUGACCGGAGGCUCGGUGAACUCGAGGCACGGGUGAAAACGCCCGUGACCCGCGGUGGGACAGAAAGACCCCGUGGAGCUUUACUGCAACCUGGUGUUGGGUCUUGGCAUCCGUUGUCUAGGAUAGGUGGGAGGCUGUGAAGCCCGGGCGCCAGCCCGGGUGGAGCCGUCCUUGGAAUACCACCCUUCGGCUGCUGAGGCUCUAACCGGAGGCCGUUAGCAGCGGUCUUGGGACAGCGCCAGGCGGGCAGUUUUGCUGGGGCGGCAGCCUCCUAAAGCGUAACGGAGGCGCACAAAGGUCCCCUCAGGCUGGUUAGCGAUCAGCCGUUGAGUGUAAGGGCACAAGGGGGCUUGACUGCGAGGCCUACAAGCCGAGCAGGGGCGAAAGCCGGUCCUAGUGACCCACUGGCUCCGUGUGGAAGGGCCAGUGAUCAGCGGAUAAAAGUUACCCCGGGGAUAACAGGCUAGUCUCCCCCGAGAGUCCACAUCGACGGGGAGGAUCGGCACCUCGAUGUCGGCUCACCCCAUCCUGGGGCUGCACCAGGUCCCAAGGGUUGGGCUGUUCGCCCAUUAAAGGGGUUCAUGAGCUGGGUUCAGACCGUCGUGAGACAGGUCGGUCCCUAUCUACCGCGGGCGCAGGAGGCUUGAGGGGGUCCGCUCUCAGUACGAGAGGACCGGAGCGGCUGGGCCGCUGGUGUACCAGUUGUCCCGCCCGGGGCACAGCUGGGUAGCUAAGCCCAGAUCGGAUAAGGGCUGAAGGCAUCUAAGCUCGAAGCCGACCCCAAGAUGAGGCCUCCCCAUCAGGGCCCUUCGAGACCAGGAGGUUGAUAGGCCGCAGGUGGAAGCCCGGUGACGGGUGGAGCCGAGCGGUACUAAUCGCCCGAUCGACUUGCGUA